rnacentral:rRNA from 1 species
AUGGCCGAGCACGCGGUUGCCGCCGUGCUGCAGAGGGCAGGCGCCACGGUGAUCCAAGAAGUCGCUUCUCUGGGCCAGGUUCCUGCCAAGGUGGAGGCCCUCAAGUCCGAGCUCAAGCGCAUGCAGUGCUUCCUCAGGGACGCCGACGCGAGGAUGGAGAGGGGCGAGAACGAGAUGCUCAGCCAACUGGUGUCGGAGGUCAGGGACGUCGCCUACAGCGUCGAGAUCAUCAUCGACACGGCCAACAUCUUGGCCAGGGAGACCAGCAGACCGCCGUCCCUCCUCGGCGCCAUAUCCAAGGGCGCCUGUUACCCCGUCCACUGCAAGCGUCUGUACAGCAUUGGGAAAAGAAUCGAUCAGGUGACAGCGAGAGUUGGGGCAAUCUUCAGAGAGUUCGCGAAAUACAGCAUUUCUUCUAGUACUGGCCUGAAUGAGACGAGACACAGUAUGGAUGAGAACGAGAGUAUGCGCGCAAGAAGACUGACGCUCCCAGAUUUUGGGGACGACGUCGAUGUCAUUGGCUUUGACAGCGAAAUCAACCAGGUCAAGGAUGAACUGCUUGACUCGGAGAACAAGGACCUCACUGUCAUCUCCCUUGUUGGUCCAGGGGGGGCAGGGAAAUCAACCAUUGCCAGGAAGGUCUAUAAUCUUGUCGCCAAAAAGCAUUUCAACUCCUGCGCAUGGAUAUGCAUCUCACAGCAAUUUACAGUCUAUGGUGCACUGAAGGAUAUCGUUAAAGGGGCCAUGGGGAGUCAAGACUUCGAAGAACUAGGAACAAUGAGCGAGAUGGAAAUUAUAAAGAAGAUCCACAGUUUUCUCAAGGAUAAAAGGUACCUGGUAGUCUUAGAUGAUGUCUGGAGAAUCGAAGACUGGGAUAUGGUCCAAGCUGCCUUUCCUGAUGUGAAAAAUGGAAGCAGAAUUGCUCUGACAACUCGCAACUCAGCAGUUUCCAAUCACCCCAAUGCAAGAAAAAUAAUCCAGGAGGUAAAGCUCCUUAACAACGACGAAAGUAUAGAGUUAUUCAAUAGAAAGGCAUUCCCUUCCUAUGUCCUCCAUGGCAGAGAUGAUCUGGAUAGCUUCAGAGAACUAGGCAAGGCCCUUGCAUUAAAAGGUAAUGGCUUGCCUCUUGCAAUUGUAGUCAUGGGAGGUUUCCUUUCAAAGAAUCUCAGGAUCACCGAGUGGAGAAGAAUGGUUGCCAGCAUAAACUGGGAUGCAAUGAAGAACGAGGGUGACAUCAGAGCCAUACUGGACCUAAGUUACUAUGAUCUGUCAAGUAAUCUGAAGGUGUGCUUUUUGUACAUCACAUCAUUCCCAGAAGACUAUGCAGUCCCGGUAGGCCUUCUUACAAAGUUGUGGAUUUCAGAGGGUUUCAUACCGAACGUGCAUGGACGCUCCCUUGAAGAAACUGCGCUCGGGUAUGUGGAAGAACUGGCCCAGCGCUGCUUGAUCCUAAUUGAAAAGAAGAGCUCCAGGUGCAUCAGGACCGUUAAGGUACAUGACGUGUUGCGCGACUGGGGAAUUGGGCGAGCUCGAAGAGAAGGGUUCUUGAAAGACUGCAGUUCCAGAGAUGAAGUGGAGACCUCAUAUUCCAAUGAAAUGAGAGCUUACAGAGUGGUUCUCUAUGACUCUGUUUGCGUGAAGGUCGGUGUUGCUAUGCCAAAUCUGCACACCUUGCUGAUCUUCAAUGCAGCUCGGCUAGAAAGGAACGUCUUCUCUUUCCGAGGCUUGAAUUACCUGCGGAUACUCUACUUUGAUGGCAUGAGAGGGAGAUGGCAGCUACCUGCAGAGAUCGGCCAGAUGGUACAUCUGAGGUACCUUGGCUUGAAAGGUGGCACAUAUGUACUUCCUGCUUCCGUCAGUAAUCUCACAAACUUGCAUACUUUUGAUGCAAGAGAUGCCGUAGUGGAAGCGCUCCCUAUUGAUCUCUUGAGCAUCUCGACACUGAAGCAUGUUCAUAUCUACAAGGUCGAGUCAUGGUCCGUGUGGAAGACUACCAUCCAGAGCAACCUGAAGUCUCUCUUCAUAUUACCUGGCAGCCAACACCCCAAAGCAAUGGGAAGGAGCAAUUGA